rnacentral:rRNA from 1 species
AUGAAUUGGACCUCCAUGCUCCUUUCCUCUGGUACUUCUUCAGUGUUGCUUAAUGGGGUGCCAGGAAAAUUCUUUCAUUGCAAUCAAGGGGUUAGACAAGGUGACCCUGUCUCUCCUUUGCUAUUUGUGUUGGCUGCUGACCUACUCCAAUCCACCCUCAAUGAAGCUAUGCAAAAUCAGCUGAUUCUUCCUCCUAUUGUUAGUCAAGCUUGCCCUGACUUCCCAGUGAUUCGGUUUGCUGAUGAUACCAUCUUAGUCCUGCCAGCUGAUAUGAGACAAAUUGAGCAAGUCAAAAAUCUCCUCCUUCAUUACUCUGCUUUCACAGGUCUGAGAGUGAAUUAUGAGAAAUCCUUCUUGGUGCCACUAAAUGUACCAAUCACACAGCUUCACUCUUUGCUUAAUGUUUUGGGCUGCCAGCAAGGUCAUUUUCCUUUCACCUAUUUAGGUCUCCCUCUUGGCACAACAAAACCAAAAAUUGAAGAUUUUAACCCAAUGAUGCAAAGAAUUGAAAGAAGGCUUUCUGGCUGCUCCACUAUGUUAUCUUAUGAUGGCAGGCUUUUGCUUAUAAAAUCAGUUUUUGCAUCUCUGCCAAUUUUCUUCAUGAGCUCUCUAGCUCUCCCAGUUGGUGUGUUACAGCAAAUCAACAAGUACUUGAGAAAUUUCCUUUGGAGGAAAUUUGGUAUGGAGGAUAGAGGAACUGCACUUAUUGCUUGGUCCAAGGUUUGUAGGCCAAAAAAGCAAGGAGGACUUGGAAUACUUGAUAUCUCUAUUCACAACAAGGCACUACUAAUGAAAAAUAUGCUUAAAUUUCUCAAUAAGGAGGAUAUACCUUGGAUUAAUUUGAUCUGGGAGAAAUAUUACCACACUGAACUGCCAAGAAGGAAAGUUGAAGGCUCUUUCUGGUGGAAGUCUCAUAUUGCUCUCCUGGAGAGAUUCAAACAAAUCAGCAAAUGCUCCAUUGGGUCAGGACAAUCUAUUCUCUGUUGGUCAGAUACUUGGUUGGAACAGCAGCUCCAAUCUUUGCUCCCUCACCUUCACUCCUUUGCCCUUCAUGAGGAUCAAUCGGUACUAAGUUUCUUUCAGGAGGAAAAUUGGAUUGAUCAGUUCCAUUUACCUCUCUCUGUAGUAGCAUUUGAAGAAUUCAACCAGCUCCCCUCUUUGGCUCCGACCUUAGACCCACAAGUUAAAGAUAGGUGGAACAUUAUUGGUGCUUCUGGCAGGCCCUCUUCAAUUCUGAUCUAUAAUUUGCUUCUGGACAAUCAUGAGGAGCAUCCGUUUUUCAGUCUCAUUUGGGAUAGCUCCAGCAGGCUAAAGCAUAAAAUCUUUUUUUGGUUGGUAGCUCACUGUCGAAUCAACACUAGGGCUCUUCUUCUAAGGAAAGGCAUGCACCUUGAUGAUACCUUUUGCCCUAACUGUAAUCAGCAAGCAGAAGAAACUCCUAUGCAUUUAUUGUGGGAUUGCAGUUUUGCACAAGACUGCUGGAACUCUCUGAUUCCAAACAGACGAAGAGGAACUUCUGUUUAUGAGGACACCAUCUUGGCCACGCAGCUCCUUCCAAAACAAUUUGCUAUCGAAAUCCUUAUUUUGGGUUGUUGGAACAUUUGGAUUCAGCGAAAUAACUUUGUGUUCAGAGCACUUCCUCAUUCAAUUCAGUCUUGGAGAUACCACCUCAAGAAUGAUCUUAAGCUACUUCGACAUAAGAUCAAGCAAAAGUUUGCAGUUCGCUUUUCACAGUGGAUAGAUCAUAAUCUGUAA